rnacentral:tRNA from 1 species
GGUUGUAGCUCAGUGGUAGAGCGCUUGCCUAGCAUGUGUGAGGCCCUGGGUUCAAUCCUUAGCACCA